ensembl:ribozyme RNaseP_nuc Nuclear RNase P
UUAGGGAAGCUCAUCUGUGGGGCCACGAGCUGACUGCGUCGUGUCACUCUACCUCACAUCCUUUGGAAAGUUCUGAGGGAGGUGAGUUCCGAGGCCCCGGGGGAGGGCAGCCCGCUCUUGGGGAGGGCCCGGCGGAUGCCUCCUUAGUCGGAGCUUGGAACAGACUCAGGGCCCAGCGAAGUGAGCUUCAGUGGCUGAGGGGAGGUGCCCUGCGUGGGCCCUCAUCACCCCAUUCAGACUACUCUCCCCCAUUGA